UGUGUUAAGAAUGCUUCGCCCAAACGGAGGUGGGCUUCUAAACAAAGCGGCGGCCUAUUUCUUUUCAUUUUUCUUUUUUGCUCCUCCAAUGGCCGUUAUUUUCUUCAAAAGCCCAAAGAGCCCAAAGCCCAUUAUCUUCUACCUCAUGAGUCGUGCCACUCCCUCCAAGCCUCAACUCUGAGACGCAGAAACAGCGAGAAAAUAUAAGCAACUGAAGCAAACUUUCACUCUCACCGGCUCCUAAAAGCCUAACCAACUGGAGCAAACUUUCUUCAUUCACAACCGGAUCCUUCAUUGGGAUCUACGCGCCCGUUUCCAAUGGCGACUCCAACAGAGUCUCUCCUCACCAUCGCCGGGUCAGUCUCCACCCAAUCGACCAGGAAACGGGUUCGCAUUUUCCGAGACGAAAUUUCUUCCAUUCUCAACAACUCAGAUAAUUCGAUACCAUGUGAGACUUAAAGCACUUGGGGAAAUGGCCAUUGCUAAUCCUAUUUUCGCACACAGUCAGCUUCCUUCCCUGGUUAACAAUGUUGAUCCAUUGCUAAGGUCACCAAUAGUCAAUGAUGUGGCAUUUGAAACUGUGGUGAAACUUGCUAGAUGCACUCUCCACCUCUUUGUAAUUGGGCCCUUGACAUUGCUACAGCUUUGCGCUUAGUUGUGACUGAAGAAGUUCGUCUUGUGGGUGAUAUGAUUCCAUCAGUUGGUCGAAUGGAAUUUUUUGGAGGCCAUGAUAAGGAAGUUGGGCUUCGCUGAGAAGUGGGUGAGGCUAAUCAUGAGCCUGGUUAAAUCUGUGGAGUUAGCUUUGGUUAUUAAUGGCAAACCAGGAAGCUAUUUCAAGCCUACCCGCGGGAUUUGUCAAGGCGGCCCCCUUUCACCCUAUUUGUUCCUAUUUGUAAGUGAGGCUUUGUCUUCCUUAAUAAAAAAAGCUUGUGAUGCACAGCUAUUGCAGGAAUGGCUCGAUCUUUUCUCACUUACUCUUCGUGGAUGAUGCCUUAUUUUUUCUCAAGGCAAAUGCUCAAAAUUGUCGCAACAUGAUGAAUCUUCUAAAUGGGUACUGCAGAGCCUCGGGACAACAUAUCAAUUUGGAAAAAUCUAGUGUUUUCUUUAGUCCCAACACUCCUGACGACUUAAAAAGAGAGCUGGGAACUAUCCUAGGUAUAUCAAUUGUUACGGAUACAGGAAAAUACCUGGGCUUGCUUACUCUUUGGGGCAGGUCAAAGAGUGAGGCUCUAAACUUUGUGAAGGAAAGGUUGCUGUGAAAGAUUGGAGGAUGGAAGCAAGGUUUGUUAUCACAACCUGGAAAGGACAUUCUGAUCAAAUCAGUCGCUCAGGUAGUUCCAACUUACCUCAUGGGAAUUUUUAAGUUCCCCAAAUCCUUAUGUCAAAACUAGAGCAAGAGAUUGCUAAGUUCCGGUGAGGUAAAAAACAGGAUGAGAUAAAAGUGCAUUGGAUCAGUUGGGCUACUUUGGGGCUUCCAAAGAAUCAAGGAGGCAUGGGAUUUAAAGAUUUUAAUGAUUUCAAUUUGGCCUUGCCAGCCAAACAAUGUUGGAGAUUAAUCAUGAAGCCAAAUUCCCAAUGGCCUCAACCCUUGAAGGCUCGUUAUUUCUCGGAAUGUAGUUUUUUGGAGGCAAAGAAAGGCGGUCGUGCUUCCUGGGCUUGGGCAAGCUUGCUUGAGGGAAGAAAGAUCAUUCUUCAGGGAGCUCGGUGGCAAAUUCUAAAUGGUAGACAAGCAAAGCUUUGGACAGACUGUUGGAUUCCCUCCCUUCACGAUGGUAAACUCCACCCCCACUUGAAAACCUCAGUUGAUCCUAACAUUAGGGUGGAAAUUUUAAUUGAUUGGGAUUCCAAAACUUGGAACUUAACCCCGAUUGAAGCUUCAAUUACUGACGAGGAGAAGCUUGCUAUCGAGCUUAUCCCUAUAAGGAAUGGAAGGGAGGACGACAGAUUAGUGUGGCAUGGGGAAAAGAACGGCAAAUUUUCAGUGCGGUCCGGGUACCAUUGCAUCUGUGACCUGCAGGUUGAGACCACAGCCAGAAAAGCCUCCACCUCAUCAUGGAUAGACCCCUUGGUAUGGAAAAAUAUUAGGAAAGCUGAGGUCCCGCCAAAGAUGAAAAAAAACUUUCUAUGGCGUGUGACUCAUGGUAGGCUGCUUACGGCGAUGGCUCUCCACAAACGCAAAAUUGCUCGAACCCCAUUAUGUCCUAUAUGCCAAGCUCAUGAAGAAUCCAUUGAACAUUUGCUCCUUUUUUGCCCGUGGGUCGAAUUGAUUUGGUUUGGAGGUCUUCUUAAUUAUAAAAUUGACAAGUAGGGAAUUACCACCUAUGACCAAUGUGUAACACCCCGACUCCAAUUAAAUUUCCUUAUUAAAUUAUUUAAUUUAAUUAAAUAUGAAAUUAUGA